rnacentral:rRNA from 1 species
UAGUCAACCUGCCCUGGAGACCAGAAUAACCCCGGGAAACUGGGAUUAAUACUGGAUAGGUCAUCUCAUCUGGAAGGAGAGAUGGCUUAAAGGGGUGUGUGAGCUUCUUUCAUACAGCUGCUCCAGGAUGGGACUGCGACUGAUCAGGCUGUUGGCGGGGUAAUGGCCCACCAAACCAGUAACCAGUACGGGCCUUGAGAGAGGGGGCCCGGAGAUGGACACUGAGAGAAGGGUCCAGGUCCUACGGGGCGCAGCAGGCGCGAAACCUUCGCAAUGCGCGAAAGCGUACGAGGUUAAUCCGAGUGGUUCCCGCUGAGGGAAUCUUGUCGGCUCUAA